AAAAGGAAGAUAUAGGCCUAAAGAAAGAAAACACGUCCAGAUAAACGUAGGAUUGAUGGUGCCAAGUGGAACUGAUUUAAAACCUCUAAGAGGGAAAACACUACCGUUAUUUACAGACCCAGAGGUAGCAGCACCUGAUCUACUGAAACAAGCUGUCCAGAAAAUGACAACAUUUAACAAGGACAUGCACGAAGGACCUUAUGUCCUUUUGUAUCCAGACUGCUCAGAGGUGGUUCAUGUGCCUGGGUCAGAAAGGCCAUUCAAAUUGGCAGAAUAUAAAAAGGAAAUAGGAAAGGCAUAUUCCAGGAUCACUUUUUUCAUUUGCCUAGAAAAACACUAUAAAAGAGUGGAUGAUACCUCAGACUCUGAUUCUGAAAUUGUCAUCACAACAAGGAGCACAGCUGAACUCAAUCGUGCUGACACUUUGGUUUUUGAACCACAAAAUCGAAGUACUCCCAAACGCCUUGGUUUCUCAAAUGACUGCCUCGCCUGGUUCACCAACUACUUCUCAGAUAGAGUUCAGUGU